UCGAUUGAGUUUGAUCAUGGCUCAGGAUGAACGCUGGCGGUAUGCUUUACACAUGCAAGUCGAACGCAAGUUUUUAACUUGAGUGGCGGACGGGUGAGUAACACGUGAGAAUUCGCCUUUAGGCGGGGAAUAACCAUCGGAAACAAUGGCUAAUGCCCCAUAUGCUCGCAAGAGUGAAAGGAGUAAUCCACCCAAAGAGAAGCUCGCGGCUGAUUAGCUAGUUGGUAAGGUAAUGGCUUACCAAGGCGACGAUCAGUAGCUGGUUUGAGAGAACGAUCAGCCACACUGGAACUGAGACACGGUCCAGACUCCUACGGGAGGCAGCAGUGGGGAAUUUUCCGCAAUGGGCGAAAGCCUGACGGAGCAAUACCGCGUGAGGGAUGAAGGCCUUUGGGUUGUAAACCUCUUUUAUCAAGGAGGAAGUUCUGACGUGUACUUGAUGAAUAAGCAUCGGCUAACUCCGUGCCAGCAGCCGCGGUAAGACGGAGGAUGCAAGUGUUAUCCGGAAUCACUGGGCGUAAAGCGUCUGUAGGUGGUUUAAAAAGUCCACUGUUAAAGAUUGAAGCUUAACUUCAAAAAUGCCGUGGAAACUUUUAAACUUGAGUAUGAUAGGGGUAGAGGGAAUUUCCAGUGGAGCGGUGAAAUGCGUAGAUAUUGGAAAGACCACCAAUGGCGAAGGCACUCUACUGGGCCAUUACUGACACUGAGAGACGAAAGCUAGGGGAGCAAAUGGGAUUAGAUACCCCAGUAGUCCUAGCUGUAAAC
rnacentral:rRNA from 1 species